AUGUUUUUUUGCAGAGAAAAUAGAAGGAGAAGAAACACAACAUCACUAAGAUAUUGGUUCAACAAAAGUUUCAAACUCAAACAAAAAAUCCAUAAAGUUCAUCCAUCAAGUAGCGUAAUAACAUUCAACAAAGUAAAUAGUUCGGAAGAAAGAAAAAAUAAGCAAAACAAGUUGGAAAGGGAAAAAAUCCGUCGUCGAUACGCAAGCCAUCAAUCAUCGAUGUGA